rnacentral:rRNA from 1 species
GUGUCAGCAGCCGCGGUAAUACGAGAGGCCCAAACGUUAUUCGGAAUCACUGGGCUUAAAGAGUUCGUAGGCGGUCUAGAAAGUUGGGUGUGAAAGCCCUCGGCUCAACCGAGGAACUGCGCUCAAAACUACUAGACUUGAGGGAGAUAGAGGUGAGCGGAACUGAUGGUGGAGCGGUGAAAUGCGUUGAUAUCAUCAGGAACACCGGAGGCGAAGGCGGCUCACUGGGUCUCUACUGACGCUGAGGAACGAAAGCUAGGGGAGCAAACGGGAUUAGAUACCCCCGUAGUCC